GGCUGAAAUUCGCCUUCCAUGAAGCCGGAAUUGCUAGUAAUGGCAGGUCAGCAUACUGCCGUGAAUACGUUCCCGGGCCUUGUACACACCGCCCGUCACACCAUGAGAGUUGGGGAUACCCGAAGCCUGUGAGCUAACUUAACGGAGGCAGCAGUCGAAGGUAGAAUCAAUGAUUGGGGUGAAGUCGUAACAAGGUAAC
rnacentral:rRNA from 1 species